UUUUUAAGGCUUGAUUUUUGAUAUACAUGGUAGAACUUAAUACUACUUUAGGAACUUCAGAACAAAGGAAGCAGCUUAAUGAUCCUGAGGGAAUUUCCUCUGAUGGUGGCCUUUAUAUUAUCAGAAAAAGAUCCUAUUUUCAGUUUUGUGUGAGCAAGUGUUUCUAAUGUAAAGAGAUAUAAGGAUAUAAAAUUUUGAGAAUUGCAUCUUAAACCUGGAAAUUAUGACUUAUAGCUAAAAUGCCUUAGACAUGAGGUUUCUGCUCAGAAUUACAGUUUUCCCAGUUCCUCCCAAACCUCAGCCAGGACUUAAGCUGAUAUGCAAAUAGAAGAAGCCUGGAACACUCAGCAGGAGACAGAUUUCAGGCCCAAGGAAAAAAAGAGUUAAAGUGUCUUUUUACCUGAACUCAAACUAGACCCCAACCAAAAAGUAAAUUAUAUGGUAUUUAUUAAUUACUGGCCAGUCAUCUUUUUUUAGGACUCUUGCUUUUUCUUAGAUUCUGUAUUUUUUUUGGAGCUCAUGAUUUUAAUCCCACAGACAGGUUAAUGUUUUCUGAUCAGUUCUAUUUCUGAUCAACUGUGGAGUUUUUAAACAUUGCAAUGGAGAUUUCACCUGAAAAAGCUACAAGGGUGUUACACUUGUGUUAUGUGUUGUAUGUCAGUAUGUCUGGAUGUGUGUAUGUCCAUAUAUCCUGCAGUGAUAUGACAAUUGACAGAUGAGGAGCGCUCAUUAAAAAAUUUAGAAAUGGAUCCAAAUAUCUUUGAUUCACGUGGUUCAAAUGGUUCAAUUUACAUUGGGUAAACAGAUAUGUCUAUAAAAUUGGGUAAACAGUUGAUGUCUAUAAAAUAAUCUGCUUAAAUUCAGAAAUUUACAGAUAUUGUUUUAAAGUGUGAACAGAAGGAGGUUAUCAGAUGGAAAAGAAAAACUAGAACGUUUUAGGUAUGGAUUUAAUAGAGGGAAAAUGUGUUUCUGGAUAAGAGAGUCUAUGUGAUUAAGUAAUUAAGAAGGUUUAAGUAAGUGAUAAAAAAGGUUUGUGUAAGUUGGUUAUGUGUGUAAGUUUUUGAGCAAAUAAUCUUAAAGAAAUUAAAGAUUAUACAACUAUGGUUAAACAACAGCUGUUAUUUUUCAAUAUUGUAAUCUUGUUACUUUAAAAGCUAACCUUGGUUAAUAUAAAAACAUCAAUAUAAUUAUGGUGCUACUAAUGUGUUCAUAUCUUCCAGGUAUACAAGUCUGUAAAGUAGAAGCUUCAAAAGAACAUUGUAUGAAGCUGGUGUUCUAAAGUUGUAUGGUAAUUUUAGGCUUAAAAGAAAAAAACAUGUUGGAGAUUUGUUUAUAUCAUUUGUGUUCUACGAUUGGACUUGUUAUCAAUAAGAUACAUGUUACUUUUUACACUGAGAUACAAUUUAAAUGUAUUUUUAAGUUAAUGAGAGCCUAAUCUGUGUAAAGGUUUUAUUGUAAAACACCAAAGUACUUUGCUACUUUUCUAUAAAAGGUUAAAAGCUUUCAGCCUUUAAUUCAUGUUUUAGGUGUGAUAUUAUGUUGUGUUAGCUAAUGUUCAUGUAAACUUGAACAACAAUUUAUGUAAACUUUGUAAAAUGAUCAGCUUCAGAACUAUAGUACUUGAGAUUUAUAAAGAGCCCUGCCUUACUUGAGAUAAGGCUCUGUCCCAUCUCACUACAUGUGAAAGUGGCUAUGAAAGAAGUAAGCCAGAUUUCAGUACAGUUAAAGUUGUGUCCAAAAGUAGGUUUUUGCCAAAAUUACUAGGAUCUCAAAUAGGGAAUUAUGAUGUAUAACUCUGCCAGAAUUCAAGGUAGCCAUUAUGUAAGCUAAAUAUGUUUUUACCCUAGUUAGUUUUGUUUUGUAUUUUGCUUAUAGAUGGUUUAAGGAUUGCCUGUUAAUGUUUUAAAGUGGUAUUGCUUUAAGAACACAACCUGGGUCAACAUAAGAUAAGGAGUUAUCACCUACAGGAUAGAGAGAUAGACAUUAAAGCCCAGUGCUCUUAAUAGAAGGCUGUUAACUUAUUUGCUGGAUGUUUAAGAUUAAGUUUUAAAAUUAAAAAUUUGGCUCUUGCCCUCUGAGUCAGUCUGAAUCAGGGAAUAGGGGACUUCUCCAAAGGGCUCUGCAACUCUAGGCCACAUAACCUCCUGAGCAGGGAGAUUAAUGAGACCAGUGGAGGACAGAAAGCCAAUCGGUGCAUUUGCUUUGAAGAGAAGGGUCAUCAGAAAAGGGGAAACAUCCCUGAUGCUUCCGAGGGAAGCCACAUGGUCAAGCAAGGCCUGGACCCAUCCUAAGACCACCUAUCACUCGAAUGGCCCUCAAGCCUAAUACUUCUCAAUUGGACUUUUAUCAUGGACCACUCGAUAGACCCGAUAUUUUUAAAGGGGGACUCCAAACUGCUUGCCCCACACCGUCCCUUUUCAGCCUGAAGAAGCCAGAAAGAUUCUCUUCGCCCCCCCCCCUUCCUUACAGCAGUAUGGAGUUCCCAAAUUAGAGGGGGAAAUGAAGCCAGAUUUUAAUUUAGGUAGUCAGUGUAGUUAGAUAAAUUGGGGUCUAAUAUUGAGUGGAAUCUAAAAUGGAGGCCAUGCUGAAAAUGAUUCCAGGGAACGCAAAACAACUCAUGAAAUGUGAAACCCUUCAAUAAUUGUGAUGCAUUACUUUUAAGAUUAAAAGUAGUCAGAAAAAGGAGUGGGGAAUGUAAGGGUAAAAGAAAUUGAAGUUAAAGCGUAAAAGUUAAAGGGUAAAAGACCGGGUGUUGUAAAGUUUCUAAGCUGCAAGGUCUGAGUUAAAAUGUAAAGGAUUAGGUAUUGUUAGGUUCCUAUGCUACCUGCAAAACCUGAAAUUUCUGUAGCUGUUAAGACAAUGCUUGGAACUGCCCAGUAAAUAUUUCCCCUGACUAUUUGGUUGUUUAAUAAAGGCUCUGUGUGGUCGCACAUAGGCAUUGCAGGGCCUGGACCAAUCAGUUUAAAUGUAACCCCCUCCUUAGGAAUGACCUGUCACUCCAGCCUGACCUGUUCCUGCCAAUGAAUGAACUAAUCAUGUUUAGGAGUUGUUGUUCAAUUUUCCCGUGCCUCAUGAUGAUUUGUUCUGAUGUAUACAAAGCCCUCCGCCCUCCCCAAAAAGUGUACUUAAGCAGUGCUCAGCCCCUGCUCGGGGCUCUGGGCUGCUUUCCCUUCUUGAGUGGGCACGGAACCCCAGCAUGCUGGUUCAAUAAAUCCCCUUCUGCCAAUUGCA